rnacentral:rRNA from 1 species
UGAGUAACCUGCCCUUAACUCUGGGAUAAGCCUGGGAAACUGGGUCUAAUACCGGAUAUGACUCCUCAUCGCAUGGUGGGGGGUGGAAAGCUUUUUUGUGGUUUUUGGAUGGACUCACGGCCUAUCAGCUUGUUGGUGAGGUAAUGGCUCACCAAGGCGACGACGGGUAGCCGGCCUGAGAGGGUGACCGGCCACACUGGGACUGAGACACGGCCCAGACUCCUACGGGAGGCAG